GUUGGGUAGGGGAGCGUUCUGUAAGCCUGUGAAGGUGGCCUGUGAGGGUUGCUGGAGGUAUCAGAAGUGCGAAUGCUGACAUAAGUAACGAUAAAGCGGGUGAAAAGCCCGCUCGCCGGAAGACCAAGGGUUCCUGUCCAACGUUAAUCGGGGCAGGGUGAGUCGACCCCUAAGGCGAGGCCGAAAGGCGUAGUCGAUGGGAAACGGGUUAAUAUUCCCGUACUUGGUGUUACUGCGAAGGGGGGACGGAGAAGGCUAUGUUGGCCGGGCGACGGUUGUCCCGGUUUAAGCGUGUAGGUGUGUGUUCCAGGUAAAUCCGGUUCACUUUAACACUGAGGCGUGAUGACGAGGCACUACGGUGCUGAAGCAACAAAUGCCCUGCUUCCAGGAAAAGCCUCUAAGCAUCAGGUAACAUCAAAUCGUACCCCAAACCGACACAGGUGGUCAGGUAGAGAAUACCAAGGCGCUUGAGAGAACUCGGGUGAAGGAACUAGGCAAAAUGGUGCCGUAACUUCGGGAGAAGGCACGCUGACACGUAGGUGAAGUGAUUUACUCAUGGAGCUGAAGUCAGUCGAAGAUACCAGCUGGCUGCAACUGUUUAUUAAAAACACAGCACUGUGCAAACACGAAAGUGGACGUAUACGGUGUGACGCCUGCCCGGUGCCGGAAGGUUAAUUGAUGGGGUCAGCGCAAGCGAAGCUCCUGAUCGAAGCCCCGGUAAACGGCGGCCGUAACUAUAACGGUCCUAAGGUAGCGAAAUUCCUUGUCGGGUAAGUUCCGACCUGCACGAAUGGCGUAAUGAUGGCCAGGCUGUCUCCACCCGAGACUCAGUGAAAUUGAACUCGCUGUGAAGAUGCAGUGUACCCGCGGCAAGACGGAAAGACCCCGUGAACCUUUACUAUAGCUUGACACUGAACAUUGAGCCUUGAUGUGUAGGAUAGGUGGGAGGCUUUGAAGUGUGGACGCCAGUCUGCAUGGAGCCGACCUUGAAAUACCACCCUUUAAUGUUUGAUGUUCUAACGUGGACCCGUAAUCCGGGUUGCGGACAGUGUCUGGUGGGUAGUUUGACUGGGGCGGUCUCCUCCUAAAGAGUAACGGAGGAGCACGAAGGUUGGCUAAUCCUGGUCGGACAUCAGGAGGUUAGUGCAAUGGCAUAAGCCAGCUUGACUGCGAGCGUGACGGCGCGAGCAGGUGCGAAAGCAGGUCAUAGUGAUCCGGUGGUUCUGAAUGGAAGGGCCAUCGCUCAACGGAUAAAAGGUACUCCGGGGAUAACAGGCUGAUACCGCCCAAGAGUUCAUAUCGACGGCGGUGUUUGGCACCUCGAUGUCGGCUCAUCACAUCCUGGGGCUGAAGUAGGUCCCAAGGGUAUGGCUGUUCGCCAUUUAAAGUGGUACGCGAGCUGGGUUUAGAACGUCGUGAGACAGUUCGGUCCCUAUCUGCCGUGGGCGCUGGAGAACUGAGGGGGGCUGCUCCUAGUACGAGAGGACCGGAGUGGACGCAUCACUGGUGUUCGGGUUGUCAUGCCAAUGGCACUGCCCGGUAGCUAAAUGCGGAAGAGAUAAGUGCUGAAAGCAUCUAAGCACGAAACUUGCCCCGAGAUGAGUUCUCCCUGAGACUUAGAGUCUCCUGAAGGAACGUUGAAGACGACGACGUUGAUAGGCCGGGUGUGUAAGCGCAGCGAUGCGUUGAGCUAACCGGUACUAAUGAACCGUGAGGCU
rnacentral:rRNA from 1 species